ensembl:lncRNA
AUGGGCUCCUCCUCCUUUACCACCCUCGACGGCAGUGCAGCGAAGGGAUAUUCCGUGAUUCCCCCAGUGGAGCAGGCGGUAGCGAUGCAAUUGUGUCCUAAGUCUGCCUCCUGCUGGCGGGGAGACCCGGUGCUUCCUUCCUGGGCCUGUAGGCAUUCGUCUGGUCUAACCGGCAGUGCCUAUAUAGGUUGCGGGGAAGCUGCUUCCGCCUUACACGCUAUGGCGUUACUGCAGGUGCACCAGGCAAAGGCACUGAAGGACCUGCACAAAGGUGGUCACAAUCCGGAAGUUCUAAAAGAACUCCAAACUGCCACUGACCUUGCGCUCCAAGCGACGAAGGUCACCAUGAGUUCUCUGGGUCGUGCGAUGUCCACGAUUGUGGUCCAGGAGUGCCAUUUCUGGUUGAAUCUGGUUGAAAUGAGGGACGCCGACAAAGAUCGGUUCCUUAAUGCACCAGUGUCCCAGACCGGCCUCUUCGGCGACUUGGUCAAGAACUUGGCCCAGCAGUUCUCGGCUGCACAGGUGCAGACUGAGGCAGUCCAACCUUUUGCCCGGCGGGCAGCUGCUGCCUCCACCCAUCCGCCUGGCGCAGCCCCCCAGCCUGCUCGUCGCCGAGGGCAGCCCCCUGCAUCCACCCCCGCUCCCAUGCUGCGUCCGCAGAAGCCUUCGGCAAGUGGCGCCAUAGAGCUGGGCGUAGGCAGGCCGCCUCACCCAUCCUGGCCUAAGUCAAAACUGGUGGUGAGCAGAAGAGCAAGAGGCCCCGGGACGGGCGACCCAGAGAGAGGUAGCUGCUUCUUGGGGGAUGGUGAAGGCACCUCUCCCUCCCCUGGAGGAGGGCUGGGUGGAGAAUCUGGAAAUAUCAAAGAGAGAGCGGUUUUCUCUAUCUAUUUCUCUGGGUCCCAGGAGGGCACGGUGAGUUGUGGACGGCUAAGCACCGGACCUCGCAAUCAGUCGCGUGUUAAAAUCAUUCGCAAAACUACCGCCAGGUGGCGCAAAGGGACGGAUUGCGAACUGAAUGUAAUUUUAAAAUGA